UUUUUUUUUUUUUUUGCUUAGGAAAUCAAUUGUUUGCUUUUAUCGCCGGUAUUUGUCUCAUUUUACAAUCUCUUGGCUGUCUAAGUUGGUUUUGUUGUUGUGUUUGUCUUGAGACAGAGGUAUGAUCAGAGAUGCCCAAGAAGAUCUGCUGCACAUGGCACAAGUUAUUUUCCCAAACACGGUAUGAUUCAAAGAUUUACUUCUGAAGAAUCACCAUACUUCUUCGUUAAUACAGACAGUUACAGUUUUACUUCUGAAAUUUUUCAAAAUCUAAACUUACAAUUUCAGCUAUGUGGCUUCUUGGAGGAGCAGCAGUGUCCUGGCUUAUAGGACCUGCAUGGAAGUACGAUUUUGACUCAGUCAAAGAAAACUAGGUGCCGCUACAAGUUACUGGUUCUUCAAAGCACCCGCAGUCGAUACAUCAGGCGCAAUAAUUGGAUAAGUAAGUCAUCUUGAACUUAUUCGCAAAAUAAGAUUAAUGUUCAUAAGAACCUGUUCCAACUAAUGAUUGUCUGCCUUAAAAAUUUAGGUUUUCUUUGUUCUUCUUCUACUUUUUUUGUGCUUGUGAAAUCAAUUGUUUGCUUCUAUUGCCAGUCUUUGUUUCAUUUGACAUUCUCUUGGUUGUCUAGGUUGUUUCUGUUGCUGUGUUUGUAUUGAAACAUAGAGGUAUGAUCAGAGAUGCCAAAGAAGAUAUGCAGCACAUAGCACAAGUUUUUUCCCCAAUUACGGUAUGAUUCUAAGCUUUCGCUACUCUAUGUUUGAGAGCUUAAAACCAUAUAACGACUUAUCAAAAAACCAGUCUCAUACAUACCAAAUGCAGUCUCUAGAUUUUAGAUGCCUUCGUAAGUCUAGAUUUAUUCAAGUUUCUGCCAUGUUACUGCUUGAUACAAUGAUUUCCUUGAAGAAAAUCGUAGUAUCUAGUAAUCCUCCAGCCUACUUUCUUAGUGCAUCAAGUUCUUUUGCUCUUAUUUUCCCAAUCUCAGUGGUACUGAAUGUUGAUCAUGCAGGUUAUUAGGCUUAUGUCAAGAGGCGUCGGUAACUGUGGUUAUGUAAGUCUCAACUACAAUGCCUUCUUGUACGUGUACUUGUAGUAUACCUGUAUUUAAAGUAACGAUUGUGUAUCAUAAGAAUCUCCAUAUACUUCAUUAAUACAGACAUUUACAGUUUUACUUCCGAAAUUGUUUAACAUCUUAAUUUUCAAUUUCAGAUAGGAGGCUUGAUUUGAGGAGCAGCAGUUACUGGUCUGUAGGACCUGCAUGGAAGUAUGAAUCUAUAGCCAGCAAUGGCCAAAGAAUAUUCUCAGACUGAAAACCAGUUUUUACCUUACUGACAGAAAGCUAAAACCUUGAUGAAUCAGUCUAAGGGCCAGUUUUUAGCAUUGCUUCUAAGAAGCACUUUUGGACAAAAAGCUAAGAUUUUCUGCUUCUAUCAAAAGCAGUUUUGGGCCAAUUUUUGGGUUUUGAAAAGUACUUUUUCUCUCAAAAAGUUGUUUAGCAAUGCUUUUAUCUCAAAAAGUAUUUUUUAUCCCAAAAGUGCUUCUUAGAAGCAAUGCUAAACUGGCCCUAAGUAUUGACAAUUGUGACACCGGCUCUGAUUUAAAUUGGUUGUAGAUAUACUAUACGCAAAGUAUUACAAGGGGUUUGCAAGGUAGAAGUGAAUUCUAAUUGAAACAAUCGAAGGGAUGAUAGAGAUUUCCUUAGCUAUUUUCUGAUAAAUCACUGACCGUUUAGAGUUCACCACCAUUCUGAUAUCUGCAGUGUAGUGAAGUUUGAAGUGAAGAUAGCCAUUUUCUUAUAUUGAAGCUCAUUGAAUCUUUAUCGUUCAUUUAUUAUUAUUACACUCAAUCAUAUCCAUUAAAAAAAAGGAAAAUUAAUUAAUGCUAACAUUUAUAAAAAUUCCUUAUAUGGCAAUAGGCAUAUCCACCACCUACCACUUUAGAUUAUCAUUUAGAGUUAGUGAAAUAGAAGAUGCUGUUAUCUUUACUAUUACAAAAAAAUAUAACCGCGUUUGGUGCAUGAGUUAAUCGUACACAAUAAAAUUGUGGAAUUGUAUUAGAUUUUUGAGAAAAUGCCACUUGAGCUACAUUCAGAGAGGCUCCAGUGGUAUUAUACUUGCAAGUAGGUUGCUGUAGAAGGCCCAAAUUGCCCGGCCCAAUUUCAACCUAAACCAAACUAACCCUAGCCCAAACAAAAUCAAAAAAAAAAAACCUAGCCCUAUGUUCAGCCUUUGCACCUGCUGCCACCACCUAACCCCAUCCCAUCGUACCAUCACCUGCAAAACAACAACAGAGAACCAAAAAUAAACGCAAACAGUAGCAGACAAAACACAAAGAAACAAAGAAGAAAAAACCAAAAGGGGCAGAAAAGAAGCAAGAGAACAAGGAAAUAGAUAAUAGCAAAUCCAUGGUAUUUCGGCUAUAAAGCCUGAAAACUUGGAUUUUUUUGGGUACAAAAACAAGAAUAUUAUAAAAGGGGAAGAUAGAUUUUUUGGGGGGAGAAAAAUAGAAACAAGAAAAAGGGAUAAAAAAAAGUGUAAUCUCUCUGAGGAUUUUUCUUUAGAAAAAAAAGAGACAGAAUACAAACAUACUGAAUAGCAAAAAAGAAAUUAAAAAAGUCAUUGAAAUGUGAUUUCGCAUUUUUUUCUCCUUCAUUUUCGAUUUGCUUGUGAUUUUUUAUCAUAGAAAACGAAAAGCGUGUUUUGAAACAACACCGAUGAAAGCCUACACGUCUCGGAAACAUGGAGAUUCGGGCUAGGAUUGUUUUCUUUAUUAUUAUUUUUAUUUUCAUCAGAUUUUUCUUUGUUUUUUGGUAGAAUAGCAUAAGAUUUUAAGUUUUUCCUUUUAAAAAAAAAGAAGAAAAAAAGGAAGAAGGAGUGCGCUUACCCGAUCUCCGUGGGCGUAUCCUCCGUUGACAAGGUCCGAUUGCCAUUGGUGCACAGUCGGCCAUCAAAUAAAUGAUGGUUUAGGCAGUUGCAUGUUGAAUCAAACACUAGUGGGAGGGGUUAAAGCUUCUUUUUUUAAAAAUAAAAAUGAAAGGUUGCUGAGUUUUGAAAAGGAAAGGAAUGGGAAUUAAACUUUAGCAUCAGACUUGGAAAU
rnacentral:lncRNA from 1 species